rnacentral:rRNA from 1 species
AUUGAACGCUGGCGGCAGGCCUAACACAUGCAAGUCGAACGAGUGGCGGACGGGUGAGUAAUGUCUGGGAAACUGCCCGAUGGAGGGGGAUAACUACUGGAAACGGUAGCUAAUACCGCAUACCAUCGGAUGUGCCCAGAUGGGGUUAGCUAGUAGGUGGGGUAAAGGCUCACCUAGGCGACGAUCCCUAGCUGGUCUGAGAGGAUGAACAGCCAAAAUGGAACUGAGACAGGGGCCAGACUCCUACGGGAGGAAGCAGUGGGGAAUAUUGCACAAUGGGCGAAAGCCUGAUGCAGCCAGGCCGAGUGUAUGAAGAAGGCCUUCGGGUUGUAAAGUACUUUCAGCGGGGAGGCGUUACCCGCAGAAGAAGCACCGGCUAACUCCGUGCCAGCAGCCGCGGUAAUAC